UGUCAGACUUCAACCUCUGAGAGAACGUUAAUGGUCCCUGCCUGAUGAGAUCAUCCGAGGAACUGACUGCGGCAGCUUUCUCCAACGUGAAUGGUGAAACCAAGACGACGUGACUUCAAAACAACUGGGGUUCUACACAGUGCGAGCUCUUUGGAAAGGUGAGCUCAUAGUCUUCUAGACAAGAUCAAGAUUUGGAAGGGAAUAGAGACUGAAACAGGAAACUAUGCACCAAAGGUCAGGCAGAAGAUGAGUAAUGAAACCAACUCGGAAAGGAAGUCCAGGCGUGUGACUCUCAACCUAAAAGGAGGGACAGAAUGUGUGAACUCAUGUGUGAAAAAAGGGAAAUGUUACUGCUCUUUGCUGAGAGGUAACCAGUAAAGCUCCUUCUGACUCCCACCCAACCUCCACUUUCUUUGUCUCUGCCUAUGAAUUUGUACAGGCUGCCACGAAUGCAUUAGUGUACUGUAAGCAGUUUUCAUCACCAAUAUUGCUAUUUUUUCCUAGAAGGUUUGCCAGUUGUUUGUGUUUGUCUUUACUAAAAUGGGUAAUGUUGGGAGACAAAAUCAACAAACUGAUUGUGCUUGAUAGCCCUUUAUUUAGGUUUACAGUUUUUGAUGCCAGUGGUUUUUAAAGUUGACCGCUACGUAGAGAGAAGUUUAAAGUUUAUACCUAUACAGUGGUACCUCAGGUUACAUAAGCUUCAGGUUACAUACGCUUCAGGUUACAGACUCCGCUAACCCAGAAAUACUGCUUCAGGUUAAGAACUUUGCUUCAAGAUAA